AAAGGAGACUGCCAGUGAUAAAACUUGGAGGAAGGUGGGGGAUGACGGUCAAAGUCAUCAUUGGCCCUUUACGACCCAGGGCUACACACGUGCUUACAAUGGCGCAUACAAAGGAGACUGCCAGUGAUAAAACUUGGAGGAAGGUGGGGGAUGACGGUCAAAGUCAUCAUUGGCCCUUUACGACCCAGGGCUACACACGUGCUUACAA
rnacentral:rRNA from 1 species